rnacentral:lncRNA from 1 species
AUUCUGGCAACUGAACGUUGGCAGUAAACGCAGCUUAGUUGUCUCAGAGGACUCACAAUGGGAUGUGCUUAUAGUUGUUGCCUCGAAGUGUGUUGUGGCGAGGAUGAAAUAGUGUAUCCUAGGAUGCCAGGGGAAUCCACCGUCUGCCACCGCGAGCGUGAGAAGCCAAUCACCUAUCACUGGUAUCACUGGCAUCCCGGCCAUAUAUACCCUAGAGUUGCAUCAAUGGAAGAUUACGAUGAGGACCUGGUGCAGGAAGCUUCAUCUGAAGAUGUCCUGGGCGUUCAUAUGGUGGACAAAGACACAGAGAGAGACAGUACGUAUUCUGGAAUCACCCCUAUGCUGAGGAAAAAUUCUAGUGUUGACAAAGGUGACACUUUCUUGCCUCAUUUUUUCUGGAGAGCCACUCUGGUUUGAACUUCCUGCCAGAAAUGUGGUUCAAGCACUUUUGUCUUGACAAGUGAAGAACCUGGUCAAGAAAUGUGACCGUUGACUCUGGUGCUUGGAAGGAACAGGGUCAUUUGGAUAGAAG